GCCUGGGCGAAUGACACCUGGGUCCUGGGGGAAUUGUUGCGUCUGGUACCGGACUCGGAAGGGUCCCUGCUCUGCGGACUCUCGGGUUCCCACAGAUAUCCAGGAGGAUGAUGGCGUCCUGCGCGCGGCGCCCUUGCCGUCCCCGCCUCCCCGAGAGGCGCCUUUCUUGGCGCGUGGUCGGGAUUCUUUUGGUAGCCCCAGUGCUCCUGCUCUCUCUAAACUCUGAUGCCUGUGGUGAACCACCAAAAUUCGAAACUAUGAAGCUCAAGGGUAAACCUAAAAAAUAUUAUGAGGUUGGAGAGAAAAUAUAUUAUGAGUGUCUUCCAGGACGCAUUACUGUGUUUCCCGUCAUGGCUUAUUGUGAGCAGAAUCACUCGUGGUUCCCUCUCCAAGAAGCUUGUAUGAAAAAAGAAUGCGAUAGGCUAUCACUUCAACAUGGUGAAGUUGUUGCCCCAAAUAAAACCUUUUCGUUUGAUCACGAAGCUCACUUUUAUUGUGAUGAGGGUUAUUACUUAGUUGGGCAACAAGUUAUAGUUUGUAACCUUCGUGGAAAUGACGUGUAUUGGAGUGAUAACCCCCCACAAUGUAAAAAGAUUUACUGUCAACCGCCUGCAAAAAUAAAUAACGGAAAAUACAGCAAUAGCCACAGAACUAUAUUUGAAUAUAAUGAACUAAUAACUUACAGUUGUAAUCCUUCACAAGGAUCAGACGAAUUUUCACUUGUUGGAGACAGCAAACUUAUUUGUGUUGGGAAUAACAAGUGGAGUAGUGACCCUCCUCAGUGUAAAGUGGUCAGAUGUGAACAUCCAGUACUUGUGAAUGGAAGACUGGUAUCAGGAGUCAGAGAAACCUAUUCCUACCAAGCAGUGGUUCUAUUUGAAUGCCUCCCAGGUUUCUAUCUUAAUGGCAGCAACCCAGUGUUCUGUGGUGAGAGAAAUACUUGGGAACCUGAGAUGCCGACAUGUAUUAAAGGUUUCAAGCCUACUCAUCCAACCAAACCUCCAGUUUCAAAGUAUCCAGGUUCAGUAAUUUUUCCUCCUGCUUAUAUAGUUAACAACUUUAUAAGGCUAUCCUGAGCCCAAUGAAUCAGCAUUAUUUGAAGAAUUGGAGGAAUUAGAUGCAGGUAUCAUUGCUGUGAUUAUUCUUACUAUCCUUGUCGGCCUUGCAGUACUUUGCACCUGCCUGUACAGAUGUCUUCAAAGAAAGAAAGGGUAAAUUAAAGGACAUUUCUUCUAA